GCUAGUCUUGUCCUACACCCUGAAAGUAAAUAGAUGGUGCAGCAAAAGCAGAAUUUGCAAGAGAAAGGGAAAUGUUACAGAGUGCUUCCUUUAUAAUAUGAAAAUGAUCGCAUUUCUUAAUGCUUUUAAGAUUUGAGGUUUACUAUUUUAUUGUCCACUUUUUUUUUUUUGCCAAAGUUAACUCUUUGAAGUUUGCAGUCCCACUUAAGACAUUCGACCAGAAAUAAAAGGAGGAAGUCUGUGUUAUUCCUGCAAAAGAUGGCAACCUCACCUGCUGCCUUGAGAUGCACACUUCCUUUCUGUUCCUUCAAGAGUUAUUCACCCAUACCAAGAGAAACAGUGGAUAUCAUGAGCCUUGACAGUCUUUCUAAUUGGGGUGUGCUGGAUAAAGAAGAUUUCUUCAGUCCAAAAGGAUAAUGUGACACUCAAUCUCCACUUUCACUGAGGCAUACCUCUGUUUGGCAAACUGAAAGGACAGGAAAAGAAUUGAAGGGUAUUACUGAAGACUUUAUAGUAACUACCAAAUAGCAGAGUUAGUGACUAUACCUACUGGCAGUGAUCCAGAUUUGUAACUUGCACAUGUGCAAUUCACAUUUGUACUAAAAACUAAUUUCCUACUGAAGCCAUUGAAGAAAGAUGCUGCAAAGAGCCCAGUCCUCAGAAGAGCUGAGGAGCCCAUGCUGAGGGACUGUUGGCCUCUCAAGACUGCAAUUAGAGCUGAGUGCUGAGCUGCUUUCAGAAGAAUUUUGGUACCACCCAGAACUAAUGUCCAAAUGUAAACCACUACCAUAAAAAUAGUUCCUUUGUCUUCAGAUGGGAUUACCUCCUUCUAAACAGACAAGCACAUGCAGAUAGAAUGUCACUGCAGCAGAUAACUCUUGGCUAUUAAAUAAAGAUGAUUCACUUCUUUAACACUACAA